UCCACACUCACUCUCACGGUCUCAACCCCGUCACCACCACCGCCCCGCGAGUUGUCUCCCAGCCGUUACCCAUUCCGUACUCGCCAACGCCCUCUCUCGACCUUGUCCCUCCUCUUCAUCCCUACCUUCAGCGCGAGGACUCACACGCCCUGCUCUUCCCCGGCCCGUCCCGUCGAAUCCGGUCGCCGAAGUGCACGAGGAGGCGCUCCAGCUCGUCAUGCUCGCGGGCGAGCCAGCCUUAGGCGCCGUCUGAGGCGGACGCGGAGGCGCGGGACUCACCGGCGGCGACGCCCUGACCCGCCUGGCCUCACCCGCGGUGAGACACGCCGUCUGGCAUCCCCGCGCCCAGCUCUGAGUAUGAAGGCGUGGAGCAAGAUAGCGGGCCACGGGCCACCGUGGCCGUGGCGGCGGGUUGUGGUGGUCGGCCUCGGGGAGGCGGCGACGAUUGCGGCGCUGAGCGGCUCCAUGGCGAGCGCGGGGCGGGAGCGGUGGAGGUUGGUGUGGCCACGGAGAAAGUUAAAGAGCGAGAGCGUGAGGGGCUGGCCAUCCUCGCGCAGCCGGUUGAAAGGGGGCUUCGAUCCCGUCUGAUGCAGUUAUUCCUGGGGUUCCCGUAUAAGCGCUAUCUACGGUGCCUCAGCUCAGCCUACGUACGGCGUCGCCCAUGGAUCCUCAUGUCAUUUCCAAGGCGAUCACAAGGAAAUCUUGUGUUGGGGUACUAAGUACUUACAGGCCAAAUGUAUAUGUUGGAAUGCAUGCUGGGUGCUUCAGAUUGGUGAUAUCUUGCUCUUUAUAACAGGCUAUUUCCAAUGAUUUUUGUCUUAGUCGUCUAGGACAUGCUGGAACUAUCUAUGCCACUUCACAGUGCUAGCAUCAGUAGUUUUGAUGUUGUGAACUUACUCAUCUCACAAACAUUAGGCAUAGAAAUGUAUUUUUUUCUCUCUUAUUAGUUUAGUGCAUAUGUCCAAUGUAAACCAACUGACAAUGGCUUUGCCACUCUUAAGUAGAAAUUCACCUCAGCUAGGUGAAAGGGCCAUAGGCGUCUAGUUAUGCUGGAUUUGCUUUUAAAGCAUCGAUAUAGGUAAUCUAAGCGACUUGUUGCUGAAGCUAACUUCACAAUGUGGGGUGGUCAACAAAGCCUUAUAUUAGUGAUCUAAACGCCUUAUAUUAGUUUACGGAGGGAGUACUCCCUCCAUCUCACAAUAUAAGAUGUUUUUGCAAGCUAUGUUAGCUUGCAAAAACGUCUUAUAUUAUGGGACAGGGGGAGUAGUUAUCAAUGGAAUAGAGCAGUACAGUUUGAGAUUCUUUGGCACAAAUUGUUGACACCAAGGACACCGAACUCUCAGUUCAAUACCUUCAGCAUCUCAUAUUUUCCCCCAGCAUGCGUGUCUUCUCAAUUGGAAUGAUGUAAUUAAAUAGAGCAGUACAGUUUGAGAUUCUUUGGCACAAAUUGUUGACACCAAGGACACCGAACUCUCAGUUCAAUACCUUCAGCAUCUCAUAUUUUCCCCCAGUAUGCGUGUCUUCUCAAUUGGAAUGAUGUAAUUAAAUAUAUGGAGGUGUGAUGUACUAUUUCUGCUGCUGGUGCAGCAUGCUAUUCUGUACUAAAUGGAAAUAGUAUUUGUAUGCAGUAACGAUUUUGUACUGCCAAGCCUGUGAAAAAUCAUGCUAAUGCAACUUAUAUUUACAGAACCCCAUUGUCUAUAAUUGCUGGAUUAAUGUGGAUUGGCAUGAAAAAUGGACAAUCUUUUAUAUUAUAUGGUGAUGUGCAACCUUAUUGAAUCUUUUUUUGAAGCCAUUUUUGCUAUGCAGGUGCAAUUGCAUACACAAACUGAAACACAGGCAGAAGGACUGGUGUGCACUGAGACUGAGACUGAGACUGAUAACCAUGACUGGUCACUGGUGUGCACGCACCCAGCUCAUGGCGAAAGAUACUAGAAAAAAGGUGAAGAAGGAGCGGCCGCCCACUCGACGGUGUGGUGCAGGGCGGCGAGGGAGCCCGGCAGGGAGGCGUUGAUGCGGUGCAGGGCGGCGACUAUACGAUGCAGGGAUCGAGGUCGCCAUGCAGGGAGGCGACGGUGCUGCUGAGCUUCGUCUGGGGCGGUUUGUUAAUCGUUCUCUGCAACUAUCUACAGUUUAGUGCAGUACAGUAACAGCAACCUGGCACCCGGCAGUCUUUGCCAGACCUGUCUGGAGUUGGGCACCUGCUGAGGAGAGGCAGAGACGGAGCAGACAUCCACUGCAUCGCCUUCUCUCCGGAUUCAAAAUGGUUGGCGGUCAGCAGCGACAAGGCAACCGUGCACGUGUUCAGCGUCAAUAUCGAUUUGCCAAGCCUGACACCGGAGGACAGCAACAGUCCCGGCGGUCUCCAAGCAGCCCCGGCGCCGUCGUCUCCAGCAGUAGCUACAGCCAACAAGAGGUCGUCGUUGUCGUUCGCUGGAGGAUUCUUGCCGGGCUAUUUCAGUUCAGAAUGGUCGUCGACUCAGAUCCGCGUCCCUGAAGGCACCAAGUACUUGGUCGCGUUCGGCAGUCAGCCAAACACCCUUCUCAUCCUCGGCAUUAAUGGACGCUUCUACCGGUGCCGAUUCGACCCGGAAAAAGGAGGCGUAGUGGACGUGCGGCACAAAGGGACGCCUUGUGGGAGUGUGGGACAGGACGUGGAGUGCAUCAACUUCAUGAAUCCGAGCAAGAAAACAUCUAAUUCGAAGCCAUAAUAUGGCAGCUAGCCUUGUUAUCUUUGCUUUCUCAUUCAUCUUCGUCUUUCUGAGGGAUGCAGAUUUGGAACCUCCAGGGUAUCCUUCGACCCUACUUAUAGUUCAACUAAAUGAACUAACUUGAAUUCUGAAAAGUUAGUUCAUUUGAUUGAACCAAAAAGGAUCGGAGGGUACCCUUUAGGUUCCACAUUUGCAUCCCCAGUCUGUCUGAACAGUAAUAAAUGCACUACUGUGUGCAGCCCUGCGCCAUUUUGGAACGCUGCAUGAUUUUGUUUUUGUUCAAUGCAUUUUGUUACUGUUGUUUGGUGCGUACGCACGUCUGUUUGCUAGCAGUCGGUACUUGCACUCAUGAUCAUGGUCUGAUGGGCAUGGUGACAACCUCCCCCACCCCGACUAAUCUUGAUCAGAUCGAC
rnacentral:rRNA from 1 species